AAUUAAAAUACAUAUAAUAUAGAUAAUAUCAUUUUAAUUCUUUAUAAUUAAAACAUUAUUAAAUUUAGUAAAGGAGAUUAAAAAUUAUUAUAUAUUUCUAAUUAAAGUACUGUGAAGGAAUAAAAUUAAUUAAAUCAAAGAAAAAAUUGAAUUUU
rnacentral:rRNA from 1 species